GUGCACCAGGCGAGAAACCUCCGCAAUGCGGGAAACCGCGACGGGGGACCCCGAGUGCCGUGGCAACGCCACGGCUUUUCCGGAGUGUAAAAAGCUCCGGGAAUAAGGGCUGGGCAAGGCCGGUGGCAGCCGCCGCGGUAAUACCGGCGGCCCGAGUGGUGGCCGCUAUUAUUGGGCCUAAAAGCGUCCGUAGCCGGGCCCGUAAGUCCCUGGCGAAAUCCCACGGCUCAACCGUGGGGCUUGCUGGGGAUACUGCGGGUCUUGGGACCGGGAGAGGCGGGGGGUACCCCUGGGGUAGGGGUGGAAAUCCUAUAAUCCCCAGGGGGACCGCCAGUGGCGAAGGCGCCCCGCUGGAACGGGUCCGACGGUGAGGGACGAAGGCCAGGGGGA
rnacentral:rRNA from 1 species